UCAUUAAAGAGUUCUAUAACUCCCAAACCCAUGUGAACAUACCUAACGUUGCCUCGGCAGGUCGCACCUACCUUGUAGCACCCUACCCUGUAGGGCCUACCCGGGAGGUGCGGGUAAGCCUGCCGGCGGCCCACCAAACUCUGUUUGAUAUUGAAUUCUGAACCUAUAACUAAAUAAGUUAAAACUUUCAACAACGGAUCUCUUGGUUCUGGCAUCGAUGAAGAACGCAGCGAAAUGCGAUAAGUAAUGUGAAUUGCAGAAUUCAGUGAAUCAUCGAAUCUUUGAACGCAUAUUGCGCCCAUUAGUAUUCUAGUGGGCAGGACCGUUCGAGCGUCAUUUCAACCCUUAAGCCUUCGUUGCUUAGUGUUGGGAGCCUACGGCAACGUAGCUCCUCAAAGUUAGUGGCGGAGUUGGUUCACACUCUAGACGUAGUAAUUUUUUAUCUCGCCUAUUAGUUGGACUAAUCCCCUGCCGUAAAACCCCCAAUUUAUCAAGGUUGACCUCGAAUCGGUUCAGACAAACUCGCUAAAUUGAAGCAUCUUAGUCAGCGAAGGAAAAGAAA
rnacentral:rRNA from 1 species